rnacentral:lncRNA from 1 species
AAAAGUAUUUAUUCGCUUAGUAUAAAUUCAAAUAAAAUAAAAUCAUAAUAUAUGAUAUUGCUUAUUGCAUAACUAAAGAAUUCAAAAAGCCAAUUAACCAAGUCAAAAAGCCACAUCUAUCAUAACUCUUUGCUUCUCCAAUUCUCAGAAAGCUACUUGUUAUUUGCAAAUAUUUGAUUCAAGCAACGAAUUUGAAGAGCUUUCUUGUUCCCUCAAUUGAUAUAUCUACAAAAAUGUCGUAUUAAAUUGCCUUAUUCACAGCAUCAUAAUAACUAAAAAAAGCAUUAUGCAUUCAUAUUAAUUACCAAAUUACAAUUGCAUAAAUUCACGGAGAAAAAAAUUAAAAAAAAUAUGAUAUUAAUUUGUCUUUUGAAGCAAAAGUUAUCAUUAACACAAACAAAAACGUUGCAACAGAGCAUAAGAUAAUAAAACGAAAGAAAAUAAAUGAAUCAAACAUUUUAUUGAGUAAAAGAAUACUCACGCUUCUUAAUUGUCUUGGUCUCUUGCCCAGUCUCUAUAUGGAUAUGACCAACAUGAAAACUGAAAUGACAGUAAAUUCAGCCGAAGAGAACUUGAUCCUUGAGGCCCUCUCCAAGUUGGAUUCUGCUUUGGGCCUAGUCAGGCCUAAAUCGUUUUAAGUUUUCAGCCUGUUUCAUUUGGGCCACGUCGAGGCCUAAUUCAAAAUUAUUUUAACCAUAUUUACAUAUUCAAAGGCCUCCCAAUGACAAUAUUUACCUCUUGUUAACUCAAUAAAACUAUUCCCCCAAUCUUUCAAUUUUCUUUUUCAUUUUAAUCGCCAUAUUGACGGGAAUUUU